UACGAAUGGAGCAAGCGUUGUUCGGAAUCACUGGGCUUAAAGCGUAUGUAGGCGGACUAGUAAGUCAGGAGUGAAAUCCCGGGGCUCAACCUCGGAACUGCUCUUGAAACUACUAGUCUAGAAUCCUGGAGAGGUUAGGAGAAUUCCGAGUGUAGAGGUGAAAUUCGCAGAUAUUCGGAGGAAUACCAGUGGCGUAGGCGCCUAACUGGACAGGUAUUGACGCUGAGGUGCGAAAGCGUGGGGAGCAAACAGG
rnacentral:rRNA from 1 species